rnacentral:rRNA from 1 species
GACGAACGCUGGCGGCGUGCUUAACACAUGCAAGUCGUACGGUAAGGCCCUUUCGGGGGUACACGAGUGGCGAACGGGUGAGUAACACGUGAGUAACCUGCCCACAACUUUGGGAUAACGCUAGGAAACUGGUGCUAAUACUGGAUAUGUGCCCCUGCUGCAUGGUGGGGGUUGGAAAGCUCCGGCGGUUGUGGAUGGACUCGCGGCCUAUCAGCUUGUUGGUGGGGUAGUGGCCUACCAAGGCGGCGACGGGUAGCCGGCCUGAGAGGGUGACCGGCCACAUUGGGACUGAGAUACGGCCCAGACUCCUACGGGAGGCAGCAGGGGGGAAUAUUGCACAAUGGGCGCAAGCCGGAUGCAGCAACGCCGCGGGCGGGAGGACGGCCUUCGGGUUGUAAACCGCUUUCAGCAGGGACGAAGCUUUUUGUGACGGUACCUGCAGAAGAAGCACCGGCUAACUACGUG